ensembl:lncRNA
UUCCUACGCUGGCACAAAGUCAGCAGCACUCGGGUGUGCUGCAUUCUUGGAGUCCGGGGCACGAGUUGGAGCUGGAGGUAUUUCACACAGUCCUAUGACAUUGCUAAUUUACUUAGCUUUUCCCCCGAAAUUAGAGGAAUUAAAUAUUUAGUGUCUGCCUUCUAUGUAUUUUCUAUUUAUCAUCUGCUAUUCUGUCUAGACAACCACACUCAGCCACUGAUAUCUAAAAACCACAUCCCUACUGCUCUUGGCUCUGCUAGCAGAGGUCUCACCUGCUGGCCUUCUGCUUGCUGUUGGUUAACACAUUUUCCCUUUGUGUGAAGGUAGACCUCCCCUUCCUCCCCCCCGAGUCUCUGCUUUAACCAGAAUAACCUUCUCUCUCUGAGCGCUGAGAUUUCACUAGAUGCCCUAAAAGCCAGAGUGCUUUUAAACAACGAGUUGCCAAAUAUCACACACAUUUUCUCUUCAAAAUCCUCCAAGUGACCUGGCUUACAGUGUUGAAAAGAAAAAGUGUCUGCUAUCUGCUCAGGCUUCGUUCUGUCUGAGCCCUGCACAUAAGAUGGAAAUGGCAUCCCCUCUGUGUUGGCUGUAAGUGGUUUUUAGAGCUGCGAUCAGCUCUUCAGCUGUGAAGACAAUCCUGCAGAGAAUCCUCCUGAUUUUGGUUAACAACGGCAUUUAUAAAUUCCCAAAAUUGGCAACACAAGCCCUCCAGCUCACAGCAUUCAAGUUCAGGUUUUCCAAGACACUCUACAGGAAUUUUCCUUAAAUGUUUCUGGUUUCUGGUGAGAUUUGAGCAGUGUCAUCCAUUGGCUUUUACUUGUACUUGAGGUCACUUUCUCUUGAGCUCCCAGUGACUUGGAUGGCAGCAAUGUCACUUCUGGUAUUGAUUGUCCCUCCUACACCUUCUUUGCCCACUCAGUUUCUUUUUUUUGCAAAUAGGUUCCAGCUAUUGAUUUUAAUAUUCCAGGCACAUGGAUUUUCUCCCCAAGUUUAAGUCAUGCUCUCCAGAUAGAAUUUGUACUCAUAAAUUAGUCGUUCCCACUCUUUUUUAUGGCUCAGCCUUCCUGCGCUACCGUAGAGGCAAUUAAAGUUCUUCUCCUCGCAUCCUUUCGUGUGUUCAUUAGCUCUCUCCUCAUCAUUUUCUUCCUUGAGCCAGAGACAGGGACGGGUGCGGAAUGAAUUCUGUUUCCUCAUUGCUUUCCAGUGCCUGUAUCUCCAACCCAGUCCAAGCAUCCCUCCCAGCAGAAAAGCUAGAGCCCGAAGAGCCAUUGGGAGCACCACAGCAGAAGGGAAAACCUUUGCUGAUCUCAGCACUGACAGGUUUUGGUGGCAAUGAGCUGAUGGUUGGACUAGAUGAUCUCAGUGGCCACUUCCAAAUUCUACAAUUCUAUGAUUUUGGGGUCAUCAUGGAUGUAGAAUGAUUCAAACUCCAUUGUGCAACAGUAUCUGAUCUCCCAAAUUCUCCUGGCAGCCAAUUCCCCAGCUCAGCCCUACUGCAACUGCUCCCCAGACACACUGAACCACAAGGAAAAGCCAUUUGGAUUGUGCUCUCUUGCUUUCAUGUCCAUGGGGGAUUUCCUGGGAUUUUGCAAGCCGCAGGGAUUGAGGGCAAAGCCAACAGAGAAGCAGACCUGUGCUUAGGGCACCUGCACAAGCUAGCCUGCAGGCUUACAGCUUCACUGUGGUUUGAGGUUUGAAGGUUUCCUAUCACCUGCUCAUCUCCUGCCUUUAUGUAACAACAAUAACAAAACACACAAAAAUAUCCCUCAGAAAAUCCAACCGUCUUUGCUCUUGCAGGUCCUGAACUGUUUGCCUCUGAGGGCAGAACACAGACUUUGGAUGGUUUUGAGAAGUCUCCUGUCUGGGUGGUUUUAUUUAUAUCUGAUGCAUUUUAAUGCAGAAUGGGCAGAAAAGAGAUGCUUCAGAGCAAAGUCAAAGCAGAGCAGUUCUGCAGGUCCGGCCCUCGCUGGGUUCAGUGGUGGGAUGUGCUCAUCACCCCCUCUUCAAAAUAACCCCCCACGUCUCUUUUCAUCCAACAAAACAUUUAGGUGCAUAUCUGCGAGUGAAGGAGUACAAGAGAAGGAAGCAUAAGGCUGUAAAAUAAACACUCUACAAAAUGCCUCCAGGUUGCUCUAAAUUAUGCAUCCUUCCUGUUAGGAGAUGUUCAAGGUUGUCUUUUCCUGUGAACAGCGCUCCUCCUGGGUCCUCACCUUCAUUUGCUGGGAUGCCUCUGCUCUGGGCUUGCAGUUACGUCUCCUUCCCUUUCGCUGCCUUUACAACCAUUUCUUUGCCGCCUUUUAUAAUUCAGAACACGACAAAUGAAUUCCCACCUCAGCUCAGCACUCAGAUGAUGGGAAAGGGAUAAACGGUCCCUGGUAGCAGCUCAGUGCACGGUGAGCAUCACUGCAGCCCCGUGCGGUGUUUUUUCCCUGCGCACAUGCAGGACAGACGGGCGCAGGAGUGGAGCGAUGCUCACAGCCCCAGUCCCUGGUGCAGAGCUGGGAGCAUCAGUGGGGCAAACCGUGGCCAAAAACACACGGACUCUUCUGGGAAACGGCCCAACCCUCUCAUUUCUGUAAUGUGAUUGGCACAUGGCUUGGUUUUGCGUUCUGUUUCUAAAGGAUAGCUGCUAUUCUUUUUAUUAAAACCUCUAAAUUUCAUUAGUUUGCACUUACCAAAAUAAACCUGGCAUCACUAGUGAGCUCUCCUGCGGCCGUGCCAUCGAUCUGAUGCAGCCCCGCGUCACACCUGGCACGGUGACAGCCGCGUCCCUCCAUGCUGAACACAGGCACCCGCUCUGCCUGGAGGCUGAGAGGCAUUUUCAUGGAGUUCUGUGAUGAGGAACUUUGCUUCCAAGUUUCAAGGGGGAAAAAAAGAAAAAAAGAAAAAAAAAGAGAGAGAGAGAGAGAGAGAGAGAGGUUGAUUGUAAAUUUAAUUCCUGUAUCUUAGUCAUUUCUGGGCCAUGGGUCAUUAGGCACACAUUAGUGCUGCUGGGCAUUUUUCACAGGGGCUGCACCAGCAGAAAGGAGCUGGGUUUUGCAAAGCCAAGGGUGUGAGAGAGAUCCGUGUGCAUGAGAAAGCUCAGUCCUGUGCUCAGCCCCGCAGUGCUGGGAAGUUCCCCCAAAUACUCCCGGUGUCCGUCUGUCCGCAGCCAUGACAAACAGCCCGGGGAAGCAGGCUCCUUUAAUGGGCUCCAGCAUUUUAUUUAUAGCCCCUUCGAAUAAGUGCAGCUGAUACUUAAGAUCGGCGGAUUUAAUGACAGCGAGCUGGCGAAAGGCCAGGGCUGCAAAUAGCGCCGCUAAAAGUCUUCUCCGCUAUAAAAUUUGUUUAAUGCAAGAAAUCAUCCCGUGCAGGUUUUUUGGCUGGCAUUUUUAUAAUUAGCGGGUGAAAUCGCCAUUUCGCCCCUACGAUCCGCCAGCACUUUAUGGGAUGGGGCUGCCUUGGAGAUGGAUUGUUGUGCUGGAAGAGGCGUUGAAGCUUUGCCACUCCGUAUCAUCCCACUCUUCCUCGGGGACACCCAUGUAUGCCCACUCCCAGCACCUUUCCCUUCCCUCCAGGAGUCAUCUCUCCGAGGUUUGACCAAGAGCCCAUCACACUAAGUGGUAAGGCAGCACGGCUGGGAGCUGGGACCUUUGGGAUCUGUAGACAUGCACUGAAGCCACCACACUUGGUUGGUGUUUGAUAACUUCGCCGCUUUUCACUAAGGAGCCCUCAGAGAUUUCAGCCCAGCUCUCUCCUGUACAAAGAUGAACCACGGGUGAGCCCUGGCCAGCUCUGUGAUUUAGAUUUCCCAUCGCUUGUCUGCGAGCUGGGCUGAUAUUUAUGGACAUGCUCUGGAUCGGAGCAGCCAGGCUGAUAUCACCGGAGGCAAGACCUGAAUCAGACGCGGAGAAAUCAGCUAUUUAAAUGCACCGGAGUUGCUGCGCUCCCAUUAAACCCCAAGAAACCCAAUUGCAGUUUGGAGAUAGAGGUACAGCGAGAGGAGGUGUGGGACACACUUCUGCACAGUCACCUAAUGGGAAAAGACAGAGCCUGGGCAGAAUUUUCCCAAAGGGAAUGUCAAUUACCUUUCCCUCCCAGCACCGCUGACCUCUGCCACAUACAAAUCCCACUUUUAUUCGGAAAAAUGCAGCCACUUGCUCCAAUUAUUCAGCCUGCACUCUGAGGUGAGCAUAAAAAAAGAGUGUUCAGUAGGUACAUCCAGCCUGUAAAGGCUCAGAGGUUGGGUGCCAUUGCUCUGCAGUACAUGGGCAUGUCCAACCCACAGCCCCACGAGCUGCAGAUAGAUGAGGAGAGUAAUGUAAUUCCAUCUUUGGAAAUGUCAGACUUUAUGGAUGAAUAAAAUACAUUCCAUUUUCUUCUGUUUAUCAAUAUCGGGUGAGAACAGACUAGAAAUUGCUUAUAAAUGGAUAGCAUAAGGAGAGAGGCCAUCUAUUUGUUAUCUAUAGCAGAAGCUGAGCACUGAUCCUACUGUGGCAGCCACAGGUCAUAGAAUCAAAGAAUCACAGAAUAUCCUGAGUCAGAAGGGACCCAUGAGGAUCACUGAGUCCAGCCCCAUCACCUCUGCAUAGAAUACAAUAAAUGACUAAAAUAGAAAAGCGAGGCAUGGAUAGAAGAAAGAGCAACGUCGGGUUCUCCUCCGUUCAGCCAAUAAUUCUGACUACACAGUGUUUAAUGUUUGGUGAUGCCAUGUACUGGUUUUUCCAUAAGAUGGUCUCAAAGCCGCUGUGUGCUCUGAGUUUCGAUGGGAAAUCCACGGUGCCAUGUGAGGGUGGGCUCCCCAGAGCUCCAUGGGGUGUGCAGGAGGGAUACAGUCCCCAACAGCACCAUAACGGUUAAAGGAGAGAUUUCAGGAAGGGGAACAGAACAGCAGAGAGUGAACUUUGCAGAUAAAUUAUAGCUAAAGAGGAAUGAAACAUUAUAGUUUCAAUUACUGCUGUGCCCAGCCACGCAGGUAGUAAUUCAAACAAGAAACAAUUGGCGGAUUGUCACCCUCAAAUCAGACACAUACCAUUUAAUUCCAUUUACUGAGGGUUCACUGACUGUAUUUUGAAUCAAAUACAGCCAUUAAUGUGCAAAGAUCUGAAAAAUGCAUGUGUCCCUUUUACAAAUGUGACAAUGAGACGCUAAUUCCUGUAAAGCCCUUUUUUCUUCAGGUUGGACUGCUCCUAUUGCCUUUAGUUAUGCAGAUAUUACUUAUUAAGAGUUUUAAUAUGUCAGGCUGGUUCUUUUGAAAUGCCUUGUGCCUUUUUGUUCAGAGCGUGCGGAAAGCGCAGCUAAAUCCAUUCUUACGUUCCAUCAUCCAAACUUAGCAAAUUGAUUCGAAUGCAGGAAAAAAAAAAAAGCUACUUUCAUUAAAACAAUUAAAUCCUUACUAUUAUUGCUGUAUCUGGCUAUUACAGCACAAAUAUAAAUCAUCGGUUACAGGAGCUAAAAGCUUUCAGCUGGAAUUGCUCUACCGUCUGCCCCAUGCCAUGGGCAGGGAGGAAGGAUGACGUGCACCAGGCUUCUUUAUGGGAGAUGCUGCUGCCUAAAUAAAAAAGUCAAGUCCAUAAAGUGAAUAUUAUUGUGCUACCUUGUUUCUCCCCAGCAGUGAAGCAAUGCAUGCCAAUGGGCAGAGCGAAUAGGAGGAAAUAGUUGGGUUGGUUUUCCCGCUCCUCGUGAAUUGGGGGACAUUUUGGAAGGGGCACAAAGGUUUCGGGGGCAGUUGAGUGCUUUUGUUUUCCUUUUCUAAAUAAACCACGGAUCUGCACUGCCACACACUCCCCGUGGGGUCACGAAGUGUGCUGCAGAAUAAAAACGGAGCUUUCUGUGAUAGUGCACUUGCCCUUCAGAGCCGCUUGGAUUGCAUCAAAGGGCAAAUUGUUUAAAUAUAAUUUUCCUGAUUACUGAAUAGGUCGACCGAACAGGAUAUGAAAUGCAAAGGCUUUUCUCAUCUUGCUCUUUGCAUCAUCCUAGGGCACACCUCGCUACAGGUGCUGCCUGUUGGCUCAAGGACACUUCCAGGCGGCAGAAUAUCAAAGGAGCAGGGAUGGACAGCCCAGUGCAUCCUGCACAUUUUAAAUUGCUUAAAAAGACUCUUUUGCAAAGGGAGUCUGAGGCAGGGACCGAAAUCAGUGCUCAGCAUGUGGAUUAGACAAACAGAGUGGUCAUUAGCGCUGAUUGUCAUUGUCACACAAGCACAGACUGUUAAUUCAGCCCAGGAGUCAUUAGAAACGAGCCUCAGCGGGGAGAGGGGUUGGUGUUGGUGUAGAUGCUGGAUGGUGGCUCUGCUGGCUUGGCAGAACAUGAAGGAGACCCCUGAGAUCCUACACUGCUCCGGUUGUAAAUUCCAAAUGGAAACUCCCAGGAAUUUGCCAGGAAAAGGAUAAUCACUCAUUAUUCUCAUUUGUGGAAAGCUGUUUAAACCCAGCCCUGCUUUUCUCACCCCAUUCCCAAGCUGAGCUCAUCACCUUUCUGAGAAGCCACGCUCUUCCAGGACAGUGUCUCCUCUUCCAGUGAGCUUUUGCCCUGGCUUUUCUCCUGGGUCCAUUUGGGAGGGUUCCAUCUUUGCCCCAGUGCUUUUGCCAGUGGCUGCCACCAUCCAGAGAGAUAUUCAGCCUCAAGGAGUCCCCAGCAAAGAGCACCCACUGCCUUCCAGCCUCACCCCAGCAGCAGCGUUGAGGUCCCACAGCUGCAGAGCAGCGCCCGUUGUGCUGUGCGGGUGCCCCUUUAUUGGAGUUCCUCCCACCACGUGCUUGUAAUUUAUUUGUAUUUCCAGCAGAGAUAAUUGAGUUAUCAAUUCUGUGCUCUUUUGGGCCAGAAGCAAAGAGAUCAGAGAGCUGUUUUAUACACCUAAUUAUAGAUUAUUUCCCAUAGCUAUAAAACCACAGAGGGACAGAUCCAGAGAGCAUCCUUUUCAUCUCCACUGACUUUUGCCUUUGCUCUCUCAGACUCGGAUCAGAAGGGCCUCCAGACAAAACAGUUGUCAAAAGCAAGGGCUCCUUAUCUCCUCACAGGACAAAACCUCUCGGCAUCCCAGUAGAGACCGUGCACAGUUGCUUAAAGAUCAAAUUCAACUUAUACUUAACCAAUCUGCUUAAGCCUUUAGCACCUCAUUGAGUCGUGCUGAGAUUUAUUCCGUUUCUGCACACUUUGGCUAUAAUCUGGUUCAUGACAAUGGCCUGGGGGUCUGCUGAGGAUGUAAAAAAUUGAUUUUCUUUGCCACAUGCAGGCUUUGUGGGCUUGCAUUUGGCAUGGCCCCUCAUGCCCCUGCUAGCUCCUAUGCUCAGCCUGCUCCCUCCUCCCCAGGCAGCUCUGAGCACCCUGCAGCAUCCGCAGAUCCCGCAGAGCUGCAGUGCAGAGCAGGGGUUGAGGUCCGGCAUACCCGAAUUUUCUAUGUAUGGAAAGAAAUGGGAAGUGUCCGUGCGUCGGUGUUAAGUUUCUGGUGGUGACACGCAGAGGCCAUCCGAGAUGUAUGACCUAGCAAAUGUAUUGUAACGCACACAUCACAUUCGUUCUCUGGGUAAAUAGAUAUUGUCUAGGGUACAUUACAUCUGUGCCUUCGUGUUUAAUUUAAUGUAAGUGAACUGCCUUAAUUUCUCCAAAUUGUAGUAAUAAACAUAACGUUAACGGUGAUACUGCUAAUAAUUUAUUUUGCAAGCGAUUAAUCAACAACAAACUCUUUUAAUUACCUGUUCUGAAAUGUCAAACUCUAAACUAAUUACAUGUUAUUACAUGAAUUCAUGUAUAUGUAUACACAAAUACGAAUUCCAAGGGUAAUUAAAAUGAAUAAACCAUCAGAUUUGGUAAAAUCAUGCAGCUGAGAGAAGUUUGCUCUCCACUGCAUUUCUGCCUCUUUGCAUUUCAUCCUCAGCACAAAGGGAGCUAGAUUCCAAGGCUCUGAGCGAGUCGUUUGUGCUUCUGCAAAAAAAUAUUACCCACAGAAAGUGGCAAACCCCGUGGGAUCUAUGCUGAGAACCACAAGGAAGAGAGGAAAGCAGCUGUGCUGCUCUGCUGGGGGGAGUACAGAGUGUGGGGCUCAUUUGGGUGCUCCCUGUGCAGGGGGUGAAACCAAGCAGGACAGAAGUGGGUGGUGUACAUUUGCUGUACUCAAUAAUUGGCAACGAUUUUUGGAAGGAGAUUGGGGGUGAAAUUAACAGAUUUGGGGCACGACCAAAUCUGUUCUCCAUUUUGUGUCCUUGUUGAGUCUCUCAGUGCAGGCACAACACAGUGCUCUUUGCAACACCCUGGUGACCCCUAGAUGAGACUUGGAAGACCACUUCUUUGCACUGGCACUCCAGACAUCAUGGCCAAGUGCCCCCAGCAAUGUGGGGCUGUAUGCCAGUGGGUCACGAAAGGAUGGAGACCACCAGCUUGGAGGGUCUGGGAAUGAAGCCUUUAAUUCAGGGGUGGACACUGAGGCAGUCCCAAUGGCUUGCAGCAUGGGCUGGAAGAACAGGAUGAUUAAUGAGAGCAAUGGCACGAAGGAGCCAGGAACUAAGUAAUGAGACCUUUAUUUGAUACAUAAUACAGCCGGGGCCCUCUAUAAAGAGAAUACCAAGAGUAGGGCUAAGUUUCACAGUUCUGGGAAUGUAUCAGGAAGGGGGAAAGCUUUGCUGACUUUGCAGCCAAACGCCUGGGCCAUCCGCAAGUGUUGUUCGCAGUGAGCUUGGGACAUGUUAAUUUGGUCAUAUAUCUUCAGAUGGUGGCAAGAUGCCCUGACUUUUGAUUUACUGUGCUGAGUGGGUCUGUGUGAUGUUGUGGGUUUAAAAUGAGGUGUCCAGAGCCUGAUUCAGUCACAGGAUCACUGAAUUCCAGCUGGGAGAUGAAGAAGCCGUUAUACACACACAACAAGAACUUCCAGCCAAAAAUUACUUAUGGUUUCAAUUAAAGGAGAAGAAGUUGCUGAUUGUUUAGGUAUGGAUGUCAGAAACACAGCAGUUAACAGCAGAGAUGAAUGAGAGAUAGUGAGGUGAUAACUUAGAUAAAUUGGUAUCUCAUCCAUAUUAAGGAGACAGCUCAUCCUCUGGUGCUGCUGGAUGACAUGAAGAGUGGAGUGUAUAUGGAUACUAAAAAACGUUGGUCUUAAAGUUAAAUCCCCAAGAACCAUCAGAAAUAAGUCUCAGAAGCCAAAGUGAGAUCUGAUGCACGCUGCAAAAAUAUGCAGUCUGUCAGGGAACGCUGCUCUCUCCAUAUAACUUCCACCGUUUGUGGGACAAUUAUAGAGAAAAUGAUACUGUGAUCUGUAAAGCAGUUCCUGCAGUGGUUUUAUUCACUAACUCGAUGCCACGCAUAAUCAUAGCCAGUAACAUCUCCAGAGGUGUGUGCAUAAUAGAGAGACAUCAAGUCAAUGAGUCAAAACAUCAGAAAAUAAAAUUCAGAUGAACAUCACUUGCAGAAAUUCUAUCAUCUGUCAUUUAACGCUGUCUGAAGACCUCCACGUUGAAAUAAGGCGUGGAAACCAGAAGUUACCCCAGGCAGCAGUCCUUAGGACCUGCACGGACUCAGGGCUUUCUGCAAGUUGGGUUGAGUGCCAAAGAAGUUCUCUUGCGAUCUUAAAACUCAAGCACCCAAAAAACACCAUAGAGGGGAAGGCAGGGAGCAGGGAGGAUCUGUCCUGCCGUGUCCCCACCUCAGAUCCUGCCCAGCAUCACCCAAGCAGCCGCUGCUGGGAGCGGAGUUGCUCCUGGAUCACCUUAAGGCUAUUUGCAGCUCUUGCUGAUGCCCUUUCAAUACCCAAUCCCGAAACUUUUCAUGCGAGGAAGCUUGCAGGAUGACAGAUUGCACCUUAAAACAAAGAGGUAAUAGCUCUUAGGUCCAGAUCUGUUCUUGGAACUAAAUUCACUGCAGAAGAAGUGUUUCUGCACAACUGCAUAAUGCCUCAAAGUGGCAUUUUACAAUCUUUAAAUUCCAACACCGAUGAAGAAUUCUGCUUUAAACUACUGCAGCAGCCCAGCCCCCCUUUAUUUAUGAGUAAUAGGCUUUUCAUUUAGAUUUAACUACAGAUUCGAGUGGUUUCCAUGUGCCAGGGCUCGGAGUCACACCAGUGUCUCCUGAGGUGGCCGUGCUGUUUCCACAGAGUCACUCAGGAUCCCCACCAAACCUGUCUUUGCAUACAUACGUGUGUAUUUUAUAUAGAUGUACACAUGCACUUCAUUUUUAAAAAGACAAAGUUUUUAUUCCAGGCUUCAUUUUCCUUUAAACCGUAUGAAGCCAAAGUUCGAAAGGAUGACCCCAAAAUUGCCAGUUUGAUUGUAAUUUCCCCCAAAAGAUUUUGGGUUGUAGGUACAUAGAGAACGAUGGCUUUGCUUCCCCCUUUCUGCUCAUCAUCCCAUGCAACGCUGAUGUGCCAGGAAGCGUGGAUGGGAUCAGGGAGCUUGGUGAGUUUGCCACAUCAGUAGUCACUGAGAGUGCCUGAAGUUUCAUUUUUCAAUGGAAAGCUGCAGUGAAACGAGUAUUUUGCUACUCAUCUUGUUAUUAUUCAUCAGUGCUUCCAAGCACCUCUCAGCCCUUUGUUUCUUGGGAAAGGCAUGGUGCUUAAAGGGGCUGAAAGGUGGAUUUUGUGGAAAGCCCAACCCACAUCUUUGAUCCCAGCGGUUUUGUAAAGCAUUCGUUUUGCUCGCUGGGAAAAUCUCUGCCCUCCCCACUCCCUCACCUCCCCCUCUUUCCCCUCCACCUAAGUUACCUCGUCUGGAUCCGAAGGAACGCUUGCCAUCCUUUGAAGAGGUAGUCUCGUCCGAAAAAUCAAUAGUCAACAUUGUCUUUAAAUAGUCUGACAUUUACCUUUACAGCAGUUUUCAUUUCUUUCCCAGAUUGCUCAGACGUUUGUAUUACCCACACACUACAUCCCUGAUCUCUCGGCCGGGAGCUUUGCACGGAUGCAGCCCCGGUGCUGCAGAGCGGCCACCAGCAAGGAACUGCAGCACGAUAAUUAACAGGACGGGAGCUCACUAAUAGAAGCAUCUUUAACUAAUUUAUGGAAGACAUCAGGUGAGAAUAAUUACAAGCAGAAGGGUAUUGUAAAUCCCUGAAGAAAAUACACUUGGAAUGCAGUUUUCCCAACAAGCAAAUCUGAAUGCUAGCCCAAAGGUCAGAAAUAAAAAGGCUGAGAGCUUCAGCUCCCCGAGCAGGCACCUCUCCGAUCCCUUCUUGUCAAGAAAUUGUCUGGGGGUUCAUUUAGAAAGCUGCUUGUUCAGGGCAGGGCCAUUUGCAAUCUGGGAAAGUUAAGCAAAUUAGCAGAAUUAUUAGGUAAGAGGCAAUUCUCCACAGCCUGCAAGGCAACCGCUUGUUAAAUGAGCUCACACCAGAGAGUUGCACUGAUCGAGUGGUGUUUGCAGAGACGGGGCUGUGCAGGCAUUUGCUCUGAAAUAAUACUGCUGUAUUCCCCUGGAAAAAUUAAAAAAAAAUGGGAAUUUGUGCAGGCUGAGCUGGAAGAUGCCUCUGUCUUCCAUACGCAUUCCUGCUUCUCUGCUCCUUCUGCUAUAAUAAAUAUCAUAAUCCUAGCAAAUGAGAGAAGGAGAUUAACCCGACACCUUUAACCCAGUUACUGCUUAAAAUAGGGAGCAGUGUGGUGCCACGAGGCCCCAAAGCAGGUGGCUCUGCACCCGCUGUCCCCUGGGGCUCAUAGGGACAGCUGUGCACUGCAGCCCCGCUGCUCUGUGCAGUGUUGGGAGUGGGAUCCAACUCAGGUCCUGCAAGGAGCCCACCCAAGGGUGGCUCACACUGCUCACUUGUUUUUAUAUACUCUUUGCCUAUUGAUUUGAUAUUUUUAUACCUUAUACAGUGCACUUAGCACAGAAAAAAAAAAAUGGAUUAACCAAGUAAAUGUGCUUUAUUAGCGGAUCUCUGAUGGAGAAUGAUGUCGGUUUUCCAUUUAAAAGAUGCAUCGGAUUCAUCCACUCAUGAAUCAAUUAGUUCAUGCUUGAGGACCUCCUAACAUGCCACAUAAAAAACUCCCAAUGUCAAACUGCACGCUGGGUGGAACAACCAAGGGUUUCAAAUGAAAAAAGUGCAUCACUGGGAAACCUUUGGCUCUUCCACCACCACUAGGAUGGAAGCACUCUGCCCAACUCUUAGUUAACACAUUCUUUCUGUUCCUUGGUUUCUUAAAAUCUUUCUUUUUUUCAAGUUUUUAUUGACAGCUUUACACUCCUCCCUCUGCUAUACAAUGGAGACGGGCACAUAUCGUAAGCCUUUCCAAUGGUAGUUUUGGGGUCAGGCUGAUUAGAUUUGGGAAGUGUCAAUUGUUGAAUGCUGUCCUCCUUCUGUCUGAGACUAACAACUCUCCCUACUCAGAGGGUUGGCCCUCUUUCUGUCCUUCCUGAGGUUUAGGGCUCAUUGGUCCAUGCUCCACACCAUGAAAAGGCACAUACACUUUCCUAGUGAUUCACAUUUCUGCUUAGAUAAGAACCAACAGGCUCCAUCCCACCCUGGAGCCCCUGGGACUAUGUGGAAGGUCGCAGUGUUUAUUUUUGGUCUUGUCCAAUUAAAGACAAUGACCUGGAGUAGAUGAGAUGCCUGGGCAUGCAUUCAUAUCACAGGCAUAAUGCAAGAACCGUAGGCAUUUAAAUGGGAAUUCUUUCUCACCCGGUUAGACCGAUGCGUAAGGAAAUAAUCCAAGUGGGGCAUUGACAAGAUAUUUUUUGUUGUAAGUCUGCAUGCUAAAACCCCUAAAUAAAAGGAUUUUACUCCUUGAGAGAAAGAGGAAAGGCUAUGCACACCCAGCCUGAGGUGUCACUACAACUCAAUGGGAGCAAUGCACGAGCACUGAGCUGCUGGGAUGGCUGCCUGCACAUUGGGUGCCCACACUAUGUACAGAGCAGAGGGCACUGCUUAAACCUCAGUCAAAUAAGUAAACAUGGACAAGGAAGUAAAAACAGACGCACUUUUUUCUCAUUGCUGCGAAGAAUUCAGGCCAUGCAAGCACCAGGGCUGUGCAAAGAAGAGCAACUAUGUUUAAGAGCAUCCUUCUCUCUCUUGGAUGUACAUCCAACAGCAGAUAACAUCACCCAGCCCUUUCUGCUUUUGGAAACCAUGUGCAGCACAACUUGCUGCUCACAUUUAAUCCAAACUGAUGUCCUACGGCUGUCAUAUGCAUGAUUAUGGCAGUCGUUUUUAAUUAGUGAUUGUGUCAAUAGUAUUGACAUUUUCAUCACUUUUGGGGGAAGUAGAGAAUAUUUUCCAGCAGGUGAAGUCCCCUCUUUGCAGUUCUCUUCCCCUCCAGCUGCACCUACUGGAUAAAUGAGCUAUGCAUCUUAUUAAAAAGAAAGCAAGAGCAUUAAGUCUGUUCUCUGCUUAAGUACAUUACAGCAACUUAGGCAACACGAAACUCAAGAAAGGCAGAAAAGCAAAUACCCUCUGUCCUAUGGCAAGAUUUACAAUCUUGUUCUGAGUGCAAUAUUUAUUAUACGGCUUAACAGAAGCUCUGGCAGGAUGGGGGAAAUGCUGGCGGCCCCGUGACAAGGAGGAGGCGUUCAAUAGCUUGCUGGGAAGUGGAGUUGGACACGAACUGAUCAACCAGCCAUUACACUCAGUGAUAAACACCCUGCAGGAGCCAUCAUUCACCCAGGAAGAAAGAGGAAGGCAGAUCAUUACAUUUAUUGGUCAUAGUUUUUAAAGAGUCAAUAAAGACCCACUAGAAAAGACACGGUUAGGAGCAGGAAUAUAUAUAUUUUUUUCAUGUAUCUUGAAAAUACCUUCAGCUCAGUUUGCUUUCUGCCCAAUACGUCAGGGUGAAUCUUCAUCCUAGGUGAUGGUCCCAGUGUAGACGGUGCUCAUAUUGUACAGUUUUUAAUGUCUUUAACCAUCUUUAGCUUUGUACCCUGAUAGCCCCUCCAGGCUAUAUGUCAAUGCCAUCUGGGAGUAAAAGAAGAGACUUCUGCUCAAGUAACGCUGUAAUGUAGAUCUCUCGACUAAAAUUGCACUUCCUUCACUUGACAAACUGUCAGCACAGAACAAUUAUCUGCCUGUUGGUUUGCUUGUCUUUUCUUUUUUUCUCCUCUCAGAAAAAAGAAAAAAAAAGAAAAAAGAAGAAGAAAAAAAAAACCAUACAAAGGAAAAGGACCUGCAGAGUAAAAUGCCGUGGGCAAAAUCCACAUAAUCUGAUUGCUGCGCCCAGAGAUGCAUUGGUGGACCACCAAAGGUAAAAGUGGGUCUAAUGCUAAAGGAGAGGGACAAUUUCUAGCUCCUUUCUUUCGGGGAUUUCCAGAGAGGAUAUUGCUAAAUAGAAGAUUAGGGAGGAAGAGGCAAGAGUCAUUAGACCCCUCUGCUUGUCUUGAGGGAGAAACCAAAACAGGCUGGAAGAGUCCAAAGCUUGUGUCCUGCUCAACAAGCUGAAGGAACCAUUUGAUUUUUCUCUCCUGGUAAGAAAGGAUGAGGAUGAUGUCUUUAGGGAAGAGAGCCAACCUGAUUUUUUGCUAGCCAUCUUGGUGUUAAUGGGACCGUGCAGUUCAUUUGGAGAAUACCCACAAAGCAUGAGUAGAGCCCCAAGAGGUGUAAUCUAAAUUAGUGGGUAAAUUUAUUUGUGCACUUUUUUUUUACUGUUUUAUUUUCCUUCUUCCCUUCUGUACCACCUCUUUUGCCACCUCCUCUGCCUCACUUGACAGAUGAAUGUGUUCAGGUCUUUGGGACAGAUAAUGUGUCUGUAUCCCUUUUAAAAGUCCUGUACAAACACUAUGGAUAUGAGAGUGCAGGUGUAUUUAGUCUGGUGUGUUUAGCAGAUUUAGAUUAUGAAUUACUGCUCAAAAUAACGUUUGCAUUUGCUGACAAAGGUCUUUAUUACAGAAGAGGUCAAGAAAAAAAGAUUAUUCCUGCUAAUUAUCCACUGCUAUUUAAUAUUUGCACAAAAGGUUUGCAAGACAGAGUCCUCAGCAUUGCUUUGUUUGAGAAGCUAAUAGGGUUUCUAGGAAACCAGCAGGGUCUGGAGGGCCAUCAGAUCAGCCUGUUAGUGGCUAUGAAGGACAAUUAGGCCUGAUGGAGUUACAGGGUGGUUGGCUAAAGGAUGGCAGUCCCUGAGCCAGGGCCUGAUGCUGGGGCAUUCAAAGUCAGUGGUAGAACUUCCACUCAGAGCUGUGCUUUAUGAGAAGCCAACUGGAGAGGAUCCAGUUUUCACACCCUGGGUAGGUCCAUGUCCUGGUUGAAAUGGAAGCUCCAUUUGCUCCUAUGCAGAGCAUCAGAAGGGAUUUGAGGGUGAACAGGUUUGACAGACAAACUGUUGGGAGGAAUAUUAGCAAUUAUUUUUUGGCCCUGGUCUUAGGUUUGUCCCUGUAUAUUAGCAGUCCUUGGAAAGUUCCCCCAAAGUCUAACAGCUGCCUUUGGCUUGGCCCCCACAUUUCUUGCAUUGGUUCAUAGUAGCCUGUAUCGUUCUACAAAUUCCUUAUUAAGUGAAUUGAAGUUCCCAUUCAUAAAGAUAUAAUUAACCAAUAAAUAUACCUGCAGAAAUUUCCAAACGUAGAUGUCUGAAGGUGAGAUCCAUGUUUAAGCUCCUAAAUACAUGGCCCAACUUUAAAAUCCCCACAUCCAUCUUCUUGCUUCAAGUGAAAUGGAAGCUUCCUACUAUUCAGUGCUCAGAUGGCUGUGGGGUACCAAAACACAGACCAAGGUGAUGUUUUGGCACACGGGUUUAUAGAGUGAUCAAAGUAGUGUGACAUCAUUGCACAACAACUGCAUCAGAUGAUAAAAUGCCAUGUACUCCCAUAUAACAUGUUGUAUGGAUGCAUACCGCUGUUCCCAUAUAUAUCCAGAACUCUUCUGGGAGGAUUUCUGGGACAACAAAUGCUUUCAGUAUUUCCUGCAGAGGAACAUGUGCCUGGGAUCUGUGUAGAUGCCAACAGCCAAAGCCUGGGAGCCCCAUUAAAAGAAAUCACCCUGAGCUGCUGCAGCAGGUGAGCCCUUGUCCACCCAUGCUUCACCAGGAGAAAACCUUUUCAGUUACAUUCCGUGGUUUUGUUCCAGUUGUGAUGUCUUCAGCUUCCCCAUUUGUCAUUUUUUAGUAAUUUAAUUAACAUUCCGAAGGAAGAAUUUUAAUAAAGGUGCUGUUUACACCGAAUGCAGCCUUGGGGAGUGAGGGAGAAUAACCCAGACUGCAGGAGUGGGGAGCAUGCUAUUUUGGAAAGCCAAGCCACAGCCUGCUGGAAGCACCCGGUUCUACUCAACCUGUCCCAGUAUCACCCACAGCCCAAACUGCCUGUUUGUGCUGGAGAUUCCUUUCCCCAGUGCUUUCAUCCCCAUCCUUCCUUGCUUAUGAAUCUUGGGUUUGGCAGCAAGAGCUUUAGGGUGGCAUUUGCACAGCGAUUCUGCAUGCACGCUCAUUCCUGUCUUCACUGAUGCUUUCACUUGAUGCAAAAUUAGGGGGUGGGAUUGGAUAAUGCCCAGAAACCAGCACUGUUGAUUACAAAGCAAACAAUUGGCAGGGAAAGGAGUGUGCAAAAAUGCGUGCCUGCAGCUUGCAGCUGCAGAGGUGGUGACCAUUGGCUAUUUUGCCACGUGCUGUGGCUGUAAAGCUACAAGCAUCCUUCCUGCGCAUGGAUGUCAAUUUGCCCCAUGAUGCUGCAGGGAUUCAUUGGAGCUACUCACUUUCCUCUGUUUACAGGCUAAAAUAUUUGCAACUUCAUGUUGUAAGGGCUUGGGCAUCUCCUAUUAGACAAGGAUAAAGCCCUUCUGGAUGCACUGGUGGGUGUUUGUAGAGACGUUGCAUUUUUGGAAAAAAAAAAAUAAUAAUUAUUAUUUCUUUUAUAUAUUUCCAGGGUGGUGUGAAGGAGAACAUCCUCCUCCAACAGUUCAUGCACAGCUUCCCACUUAUGCAUUUUUCAGAACGAAUGCAGCAAAUAUACCUGAUCAGUGCUGAUACAACUGCUUCUCCUCCCCGACAUAUUUACACUAAGAGAUUGAUGAACCACAGGAAAAGAAGAAAAUAACAGAACAAACAACUUAUCUUCCCAGAAGCUCCCUAGAAACUUAUCUGUCAUCACUGCCCAGGCUGCAGCAAGAGGGGAUUUCAGCAUGGAAGGUAUUCUCAGUGUAUGCUGUUCACUCUGAGGGAACUUUUGACACCCAAGCAUUCUUUUCAGUGUGAGAAGCGAUUACUGCUUCCCAAAGGGGAGAGCUGGAGACCUGAGCCCUCAGCUCUGCACAUGCUCCUCAACCCCAACUUGUUCUCAGGAAAAAGUACCAGGUAUUUGCCUGAUCUAACGGAAUACAUGGAAAAAAAACAAACAACAACAACCAAACCACUAUUUGGAUUUCAGUAGGACUUCAGCAUAGACGCUUUGACACUUAAGGUGAGAAAAAUGAGCUACAGAGGAAAGCAUGGGUUUCCUUUUAGCUGAGGAGGGAUGCUCCUGCAGCUCCACUGCUCCUCAUGUCUUUGUCUUUAAAACACUCAGUGACAUAAAAAUUAGACGCACGUUAAACCUCAAAUCUAGCAAAUAGCUCCAUCUCUUAAAGCAUGUGAAUACUCCUGAUACUAUUAAGAACAUUUAACCGGUACCUGAGGGACUGGGGACCUGGAGUCAGGCGACCCAGUUUCCUACAUAAGAAAAGAGAGAAAUGUCUGCCUCCUCUAAUGCCAGGGGUUAUCCUGGGCCAGGUAUCUUUAAAAAGUAAAGAUGUGAGCAAUCUCAUAUCAGACUUAUGCAUCCAAAUGGCUCAUUAUACCAGCAGUAAUAGCUUGUGAUAGUCCUAUAGAUUUACAGUACUUAGGAAGAGAUGAUGCCCAACGUCCUUUCCCAACAAUCAUUAUGACAUGGGGAAAACCAGUGAUUUUCUUUAAGUCCAUUAGCAUAAUAUUUGUGCUUAUGAGGAUUAGACCAGCAGACACUUCACAGGUCUUUAGAAACAUAAGCCCAACACAUUCAAAUGGAGACUUUUUUUGGAACAAAGCUAUUAUCUCUCAAAUCACCCAAUAUUGCUGGCCAGUUUGGGGCAGCUGGGAAGCAGCAGGUGCUUCCACCCCAUUCCCUGCCUUGCCAGCCCCAGAAUUCCCAUUUCGUGAGCAGCUCAGCGCAUGGAACAAAACACAAGGAGGGAACUUCAGAUCAAAACGUUUAUUCUUCAUUGCAGCGGAUGAAACACAGGCACGAGGCUCCUGGGGGGGAGGUGUCUGAGCAAUCACACGUAAAACGUACAGCAUUUGCACUUGAAAUACACAGACCUGAAUCACAGCUGGGAUCAAUACAGGAGGACGAUAGAGAUUAUCAAUCUUGAGUGGUCUCCGUUACACAGAAUUGACUGGCAGCCACAUAAUGGCUCGGGCUCAGCCCACCAGUUUAGAGCCCGGGUGACAGAUCUGCAGACGCCAGCCAUCAGCAUCCCUCCUUGGCCCCUCUCACGUGCCCAUUUCUUCUGCUGUCCGGGUCAGCCUCCGAGGUGCGUCUGAGAGAUCAAUGCACAGCUACAGCUGGUUGAAGGGGACCAAAUCCAUUGAACAGUUGAUUUGGUUCCAUUUUACCAGCUUUAGCAAAGCAUUUGGCCUCACGCUCUGCAAAGCAAAGAGGGGAACUCCUCAGGGCCUUUUCCUUCACAGUCGCCAGGACCUCUUCUGAACUUGCUGCCUGACGUUGCACGGGUUCACAUGGCUUCGCUUUCAGGCAUUCAGGAUUUAUUUAAGCUUCUUAGCAGCUUUGGCUGAAGAGCGAGUCUGAAUUAAAGAGGCAGUUUUAAAAGCAGUGGAACAGUCUGCAGCACUCAGUGCCUGCCUGUAGCCUUUUAAACCCGGUGUUUGGCUCUGUUUUGAAGCUGCAUUGCUACCACAGUGUGACUGAGUAGUGUCCUAAUCCAGGUCAUUUAAUUGCCACCUCCAGCCUUCUUUCUUUCAGAUCUUUUGUCUGCUAUCCCCACCCGUGCCCUGCAUUCUGGUAACUCAAGUUUUCUCAUCUACCUUUAAAAUCAGUGCUUUCCAUGGCUUUCAGAUCUGUUGAAGACAAGCAAGGACUGUAUUUACCACCAUCGGGAGGGCGUUGAGUGGAAGAGAAAGCGGAGCAGCCCUGCAGCCUCCCAGCCCCAUCCUCUGCAAGGGCUCAGCCUGCAGCUCCCGGAGAGCCCCACGCUGUGAGCACCCACUGCUCCCAAUAACUCAGUAAAUCAGAUUUUUAAAUCACAGCAGCAGGAGCCAAUAAAGCCAGACCUCUCCUUCGUAACCCAGCGCCACGCGCAGAUAUUGCACAUCGCCACGUGCGUAACCUAUUUAAAGAAUUUACAUGCAUCGCGAGGCAAAGGUGACUUUUUCCCCCCUCUCCCUCACAGCCCACCGCACACACCACGACAUGACACCGAGAAAAAAGCACCUGUGCUGAAAGGCACUGCAUGCAGAGAUAUUGCAUGUGGGCCGGUAUUGCUGGUCCCCAAGAAAUCCAGGCUUUGCAUUGUAACAGUAAGUAGUGCAGAUCACUUAACUGCCCAGCCCCAGUACUGUAAGCUGCCUAUAAAUAAAUGCGGAGAGAGAGCGAAAGAGAGAGAGAACAUCUUUUUUAAAAGAGCUCUACAAUUAAUUUAAUCGAGUUAUCUCUAGGUACCUUUUCAAGAGACAAUCAAGCCAAGGAGCUAAAUGGAAACUUAGACAGUGAGGACCUAGAAGUAUUAAACUCAUCCUUUGGUGAGUUAUAGGAGGGAGGGAAGUAAUUAUUUACCAGAGAACGGGAGGAGGUGGAAGUGCCAGCAGUGACCGAUGCUGCACCGAGACUGCAAGCUAAACCCUGACGGGCAUAUGGAUUUUGGGAGGCAGAGCAAUGAACUGCCCGAACAUCAGCAUGGCGUGCUCCAGGUGCCCUUGUCCUGUCCCCAUCCCAUUGGUUUUGGCAGGAAGGGCGUUAAAACAAGCAUCUUCUGCUGGAGAUGAGUGCUGCUCUGUUCCCCUCGCUUUGCUUCAGGGAGUGCCCCGCAGCACAUCCGAAAUCAAUGCCAGCACGCGCCGACAUUCCGUAACGUUUUGUUUGAAUUCUCUGCAGUGAGUUAUGAGUGAGGUUUUCCUUUUUAGAAAAUUAGGUUUUCUCUUCUGGAUGCCAUUAAUCACGACUAACGAUGGCUCUGGCGGCGAGGCUUUCCCAGAACUGAGGAAAAGCAUCCCCACACCUCUGCUGCAGGGCUGCAGCACAUGGGGCUCACAGCCCCCACACACCUGGGCCCGGCCAGCAGUGCAGCAAGAGGAACUGCAGAGGCUUUGCUGGAUGUGUUCAAAGGUGUGAGCUGUGCUGAAACCCAGUCAGACCAGGCUUUGGUGUCACUUACCCUUCCUAUUGCCCUCCCAGGUUCAAGGACCGGGCGACCCAGCGCCACCAAAUUUAGGUUUGCUGUCUGAAGGUCAUCCUCAUCCAGUUGUUUCCUCCCAGCAGUGCUUGGAAUUGGGUCUCACUGGGAAGGUCCUUUCUGGUCGCUCUGUCCCUAGGACCCUGCCCAUGGGACCGACACCGCCCCAGCCAGGAAUGGCCACAUAGUGGAAUGGCACUGGGGAGAUAUAGGAACACAUCUCUGAAGCAAAUCCAAGGCAAAAUAGCAAAAUAAAGCUGUGCAUCUCAUUCCCCUCUCUGCCAGUCACUGUGUAAUGCCUCGGUUUUGCUUUUGGUCUAAGUGUCAGCUUUGCAGUUCAUGAUUACACUUCUGAGAGCAGCCAGAUCCCUGUGUUAUCAAAGCACUGCCAUGGCAAGUGGGGCCAAAAGUGGGCAACAUAAGAGAACCUGGGGCAAUGAAGACCUUUGUGCUUUAGCCUCAACAUUCUAAUGAAGAUGUUUUAUAUAGACAGCACAGAAUAGCCAAAGAAUUUAUCAACAUUUGUCGAUAUUCCUAAUGAAGCAGAAGAUUCAACAUGCAAUAGAAUUAGCCUACAAGGAACCCUUGUGUAGGGCCCAUCCUUCUGAGUCCAGAAAUCUCCUGCUUAUUCCAGUCCAAUACCCUUUUGAGAAAUGAACAUCUCUUGAAAUCAUUAUCAUUAUAAGCUAAAAGGCCAAAUGAGACAAAGUACUGUUGCUCUUCAUCUGAAUAAACAAAUCAUUUUUAGAUCAAAUGCAUUAACAAUUUAUCAUGCUAAAAUCCAAUCAAAAGGAAAAAACAACAAUACAGAACAUUGAUUUCUUACAGCUUUAUCUUAAUGAAGUGCACAUUCCCUCUGUAAUUAGCUUUGGAAGGUUUUUUUCCCUUUCCUCAAGUUAAUGUGUUAUUUGAUUUCCAUCCAAAUGUCACUAAAUCUGAGGAAUUUUCCCCAAAAUGAAGUGGCUUUUGAUAAUACAGGAAAACGUCUGCUCUCUCAUUUGGCUAUUUUUCCCCCAAACAGCCAUACUUGUACUGCAGAUGAUUCAACUUUAUUGCAUGGUGUCUUUGCGAGGAUGUUUAAAUCAAUGCCACAGUUGCUGUAUUCUGCACAAUGUGCCAUUUGUAAGCCAGAAAAUACAACCUCGGUGCUUUUAUCCUUUUUCUUACAGACAUAAAAUAUUAAUUUAAUUUAUAUUAUUACAGGGGAAAAAGUGGACUGUGUUUUAUUAACAUUUCUAAAAUUAUAGGUAUUCAACCCAAAAAAUAUGCUUCAGCCAAGGCUGGGAAGUCUUCCGCUUGGAUUUUAUUUGACUUAAUUAAAAAGCACUCAGUUCCUAUGGGCACUAAAGGAGCUGCUGACAGUGCAGUAGCCACUCAGUCUUUCAAAACUAUUACCUGAACUUAAUAAAGUGUCUAUUUAGUUUAUACACCUCCAUGAUCCCACCUGUCUCCCACCAACAUGAUGCAAUUCUUGCUAAUGGCUGGAGAAGGCAGCGGGUUGAUGGCAGCCCACAGGCACCCCAGGCAGAACAAUUCCCAUAUCCUAUUGCCUGCCCUAUCUACCUUUAAUCACAGGGUCACAGAAUGGCUUGAUUUGGAAGAGACCUUUAAAGCCCAUCUGGUCCAACCCCCCGCAAUGAGCAGGGAAACCCACAGCUCCAUCAGUGCUCAGAGCCCCUCCAGCCUGACCUUGGGUGUCUCCAGGGAUGGGGCACCUCUCUGGGCAACCUGUGCCAGUGCUUCACCGCCCUCAGCAUAAAAACCUUCUUCCUCAUAUGCCAAUAUCCGAAGCGUUCAAAUCUCCACCAUGCUUGUAAUGAUCAAUGCUAGGAAAGCUUUUUCCCGGCUGCCUCUCUGCUCCUCCACUACAUAUCUCAUUUAAAUCUUUUCUUCUUUAAAUGAUGCUGAACAGAGGACUAUUGCUUUCAUCCUGCUUCACUGAGUAUUUGCUGAAAUGCAGUGGCUAAUUUGAUAGUCCGGUUUUAUUUGGACGUACUGUCGAGACAGAGAGCAAGAUCUAUAACAGAGAAUAUAACCCCAAAUCCUACCAAUUACCAGCUUAUUCCUUAGUUAUACAGGAGACCACAAGUGACCUUAUCAAAAUCUUGACUCUCAAUAUGAACAUCUUCGUCUUAAUCCAAAUUUCACCCUGGAGCUGAAGGUCCUGCUUCAUACACAGCCUAAGAACUGCGGAGCAUCCAUUGCAGCAGGGAGCCCACCCCUGGGACAGGGCUGCCCGCCGAGAGCUGCAGCUCCUGGAACUGGCAGCAGAAAUAGUUUGGAGUUUGGAUUUUUAAACUCACACACUCAAAGAGAACAAAGCUGUUCCCUAAUACACUUUGUGCAUUUUAUGGACCGAACAAUUAAAGAGGUUUUAAAACAUCUGCUGACUGCAUAAUUCCAUACAGGGGAGUGUACUCAGCAUUUUUAAACAACAACGGGUACGAGAUACCACUUAACAGUACAAAACACCAUCAGUCCCGUUAAAAUCAAUAGAAAAUUAGAUGCUAUGAAAAUGCAAUAUGUGUCCAAUUAGUUAUAAUUGGAGCAAAUGGUGAUGCAGAUAAACUCCUGGAGUAAGAUGCAUUUGUCCGGCCCGCUCCCUGCCUGCUUUCGGCACAGCACGGUAUCGGCAGUGGCAGGCUCUGCUGUGCCCCAUAGCAUGAAGGAUGAUCCCUCUAAUACACGUAUGUUAACUGUUAUCUAAUUAUGGAGCUGCUCUGAGCCUGCAGGACUGUUUCGGUGCCCCACCGUGCGCGGUGAAAAAUGAUCCUCUGUCACACGGAAACCUCCCUGUUGUACUUGACAAAUUAUGCCAGCAAACCUGUUUAAGAACUAAAAAAUCCUUGGACGCGGUGACAGGCCAAGAAAUAUGUUGUUUGGGGACAGAUAUUUAUUUAUUUAUCUGGCAGAGGUUAAGAGCCACCACUCGGUUCACUUCUCCCCUGCCUGUCUCCGUUCUGGCAGCUCAAAAUCCGUCUCACCGAUUGUUUCGCCGGUUUCUUUCAACUCAUAAAAACUCCAUUGCAAGGCAAAACAGGAACUAGGUUAUGCGAUGCCAGCGCUUUAUUUUUAACAUCUCCCCUGCAACACGUUGGCCUCCUCUUGGUUUAAUCUUACAACUAAAGGAAUAAGAGCGACGGUUCCGCACAUCCCCAACCGAGUAUUGCCGCCGGCCGCGCUGCCAACCCUCCGUGCCCUUGCAGGGUAUGGAAAUGUGAAACUACUCACGUUGCUCUCAGUACAACCCAUAUUAACUUUGGGGGGUAUUUUUUUCAUAUAUUUGUCUAUAAAGUAGAGAUUACUUUACACAAACAAUUAGCUCAGAGGUAAGAAGCUAUAACUACCGGCAGGGCUCUUAUUUUAUUCCUGUUUUCUGUUAAUAUUAUUAUUCUAAUCAGCAGUAAGGACUGGUGGGUGCAAAGAAAAGCUCCUGUUUGCCCGGCCCUGAAACCUCCUUGUGUUAUUGCUGCUGUUACUUACACGGGAAAGGGAACUGUCUCUUGAGGAAGGGAAAAAAAUGGAGGUGGCAGCUUUUAUUUGUUAAGCUGACUCAGCUGGACAGUGGAACAAGAAAUGUUCAGAUCCAAUCCAUAACUUUUGUGGCCGCUCUAAGGACGUAUUCUUCCUCGACACUGAUAAAAGUUUAAUAUGGAGUUGCCCAGGUUUUUAAUAAACUUGUCAACAAAAGAGCAAGGCAAAUUGAUGGGGACCUUCCCAGGAAUAAAUUCCACUUCAAAUAGGCCAAAUGAGUGUGGAGGACAGAGAGGGGAAGGUACACGGGCAGCUUCUGCUGUUCUUUGCAAAAAUGGCACAAUGGAUUUUAGUGGGUGCGUAUGUGUGUGCGUCUUAUUAUCUCUGAGACAAGGCUUUAGGACAAAGCUUAAAUUAAAGAACACAACCUGGUGUGGCUCAGAGCCCUGACACGGCAAGGAAGGGAAGGGACAAAGCUCCGGCACUGAUUUAGCGGUGAAGCCAUUCCCCACUAAGGAACUGCCAUCUCACCCUGCGAGUAGUGCCGCAUCUCCCAGUGCACCUGAAGGCUCCAGGCAUCUCCUACCCAGACUGUGGUCACUUUGGGACCAUCCCCAACACACUCUGCAACAACCUUUACUCAUACGCUGAGUAUCACCUGUGCCCACCCAUGCAUCACCUGCCCGCCAGCAGACCCUCUCUACUCUGACCUGUGAUGCCAACAGAGUUUUAUCCCACAUCCCCCACUACGCACAUCACAUUUCAGCUACUGCCUGCGCGUUUAUCUCCACUCAGUCAAACCAAUCCCAUUCACUGCUCAAUUUUUUUACUUCCAUACAUCAUGAGCUGCCUCCAGGCACCACACCGCCCCUUCCCAUGGCAUUGACUGCAGGCAUGGCAGGAGGGGCACACACUGCAUGCUCUGCAAGCUUGGGAUGGAAAUCUCUGCACGAGAUGCAUUAUUUUCUAUUAGCCUCCAUCAAGCUGGUGCCUUAAAUUAUUAAGCUUUGUUGUGGUGUUGGUUUGUUUUUUUUUUUAAUUUGUUGACCUGAAGUAAACACAAGUAUUAAAUCAGAUUCCAAUAAUCUCACUGACAGUAAAUUAACUCAUUGUGUCCUAGAGGGGGACGCAACCGCAUCUUGGCCACUCUGAGCAAUGCUUCACCAUCCCUGCAGAUUCCACAUGCAUGCAAUGGGGUAAAAAGCAGAAGGCCAGAUCCUGCCUCCAACCUUGGGCCAUGUCCCAGAUUGGAAGCUCUGCCUGGAUGCCGCGAUGAAAUUUAUUCCUGAUCAUUCUUAGGUCACCGGAUUCCUGCUCCGGUAGCUUUACCCGACCCCCCAAAUGCCAGGGUCGACGUGCCUAUGUAAGGGCUUUGCAGGGACGGCUCCUGCCCUCACAGCUGCUUGGGGACUUCUGCAGCCGGUGGUCACGAGCCCCUGGCUGCCCAGAUGCCACCUAAUCCGGCCCGGCAGAGGGGCAGCUGAGAAUGAGCACUAUUUAUACCAGCUGCUGCUGGUCCCGCUGGGCUGCCUGUGGCUUUUUUAGCUAGCAGCUCCCAUCCCAGCGCAGGCCAUAUCUGGACAUGGCACAGGCAGAGUGCUGUGCUUCGAGAAGAGAAGAAAGAAAAAAAAAAGAGGGAAAAAAGGAAAAGCUGCAUCUGUUUUAAGAUGUCAGGCACCCUGUUUCCAUCAAAGCAUCCUGAGCACCACCAAAACUGCUCCAACUGCUAAAAGCUUCACUAUAAACUUGCCUCUUAUUCCAAGUGUGUCUGUCCUCUGACAACCUUCCACCCGUGCACAUGGCUAUUGGCCUCUGUUCCUUCAUACAGACCUCUAUGCAAGAAAUGCAAGCUCAAAGCAAGGGUGAAUGCUGACACUGCUUACACAGUGUGAGCAGAAUCUCCUUUGGAGAAUUACAGGGUGUCAGAGGAGGCAGGCGGCUUGGAGCUCUGCCUGUUGAGGAGGCUGCACAAGACUUUGCAUUUUGGCCAUUACACACUCAGAAUGAGCUUGUUCUUGGGUAAUUGCACCAAGACCUUCUCCAGUCCUAUCCCUGCAAUGGCUUCAGCAUCUCUACAUGAGCAGCCCCCUCCCUCUGGGGGAAUGCAAGGCAGGGGAGCAGCAUAGCUGCCUGCAGCCCAGCAAGCAGGCGGUGCAAUGAGCUGCACUCGCCAUGACCCUGCAUCCCAACAGGGAAGCAUCUUGCUGCAUGAUGGCUUCAGGUCAAGAGCAACUUCAGCAGAAAGCGCUAAACUGAGCGCCUUCACUGGGAGGGAAUCGCUGAAAUCAGCGCCCGGCUUUCAGGGGAGGGAUGCGAGCUCCGGAGCGAGGAUAUUUCUCUUGCAAGGAACACACCACCCCCUCGCCCACAGCCACCGUGAAGUGCAAGAUGUGGUGAAACUCUUUAAAAAUAGAUAUAUUCCCAAGCAAUACAUGCCGCUCGCAUCUGGCAGGGCAAACCUAGCAUGGAAGCUCUUGCUUACAGACUAAAAAGCCUCGGAGCAGCUCAAGGCUCCUGCAACCUUGUCUCUCUCCUCGAUUCUUCAGAGCCCGCUCUUGUUCUUGGCCUAACCCAGUCCUGGGAAGCACAAGGGAAGCCCUGCCCAGCUAGGCUGGUGUCAAAGGCAGGGAAAGAUACUGCAGUGCAGUGCUGAUCUCUUCUGCAAUCGGACGUGCAGACUAGCCCGAAUGCUGAGUCAGCACAAUUUCUUUUUUGAUUGGUUGAUCCGAGUAACAUACUUUCAAUGUAUGCUAAAGGGGCAGCAAUUAAUAUGUUUUCCCCCCGUUCUCCACCUUUCCAAACCUCCUCAAAUCAAACACACAAAUCUCACCCCCAAAGUCACUCUCUGGUCCUAAAUAUUCUGAGGCUCUUUCAUUUUUAAUUUAGGGCAUUAAAAAAAAAAAAAUUUGCAAUCUAAGCGAUGCUCACUUUGAUCGACUUGUGCUGCAGCAGCUAAAAUAUCUGUCCUGCAGGUCAAUCUAAUCAUGCUUAAUAGCAGUUUAUUCUUCAACGCAACAUUUUUCACAUUGGGUCGACAGUUUUAAAUGAGAUUGCUGAUGCACCCCUUUACUAAUGCUUUCACCAGGGCCAGCACAUCCCUUGAAAUACUCGUGCAAUAAAAUGAAUGCUUUAUUGCUCUUGAUGAAUGCACUAUUAAACUUGAAUUGCAAAUAUGCCCCCCCCCCCCUUUUUUUUUUUUUUUUUACAAAAGAAGAGUGCUGGGAUUUAUUGGACCACCUGUCUUCCAGUAUUAAGUAAUAGCAACAAAAGUAAUAAUAGCUCAUCAACAUAAACACAUGAAAGGGAAAAAAAUAAUUCAGGGGAAAACACACAGCACGAAUUCAUCCCCGUGCUCCCAUGCGCGUGUGCAAAAUUCCCAUUCUAUACCUGCCCGUAGUUCCUCUUAUGUGCAGAAAAUUCAUCUCAAGAACGGAUGGGUUUUGUGAGGCAUAGAAUAGGAAAACGUAACUAAUUUGGUCCACUGGAUUUAUGGCUUUUACAGUCCUCAGAGCUCCCGUUUCUGCUGGUGGGACCGCUCAGUGCGCGCUUUGCGGGACGGAUGGGCACAGCCGAGCAUCGCGCCUCGCUUCAGCACAGAACCUGCAGCUCUGCUCUAUGGAGAGCGAAGGAGAAGAGGCUUUCUUCAAGCUAAGAAAUAGGGAGGACCUAGUGUGGAGGAACAGUCACAGUUUUAAUCCAAACAAGAAGAAAAGCGAGAAGGAGCUGGAGCUAAGAGUAAGAAUGGCGCAAACUGGUGGACGAUGCUAAUGACUAAAGGGCUGACGUGGUUUUGGGGUCUUUACAGCAUUUCUAUUUAUUUUUUGGCAUUGCCACACUGCACCAGAGAUGGGGUAGGGUCUCAGGAUGUGUUCUGCACCCACACACCUCCACCACGUGGCUCCCACACCGUGAGACAGAGCUGAGUUAUGGUUUUGAAAAUAUUUACAUAAAAAUAAAUCUGAACACUUAGUGACUUCCUAAAGUUAGCAAUUCCGUGUGAUUAACAAGCAUAUUAAUUCAGAGAGGGGGAAGGAGAUAAAAAUUGCAUUAGGGAUGCAGGUAUCUGUUGUAAAUCAGACCAUGAGCACCUUCGCUAGAGAUAUGCACAGUGAUGUGGAAGGCUCAGUAACACCCGCGCUGAGAAUGCAGAGAAAGAGAAGAAAACAAGAAAAAGAAAGAGCAAGACAAUGAGAGAAUGAAAGAAAAGAGAAAAAAAAAAAGAAAAUAAAGAAGAGAAAAAUAUAAGAGCGGAGUUGAAAGCAAGAAAGCAAGCUAGAAAUAAGGAGAAAAUGAGAAGCACACAAGUAGAAGACAAGGAAAGAAGGAAGGAGAGGAAAGCAGUGAGGAAAAGGGAAUCGAGAAGAGGUAGGGUAAAAGGUCACCUGGGAGAGGAGGGAAAUUGCUAUUGUGGCCAGAAUGGUGAGAAUCAUCCCCAUUUUUCACACAGCAAGUCAAGCUCCCAGCAGUGAUGUACAAGUGAGAGAAAUUGCAGCCCUGUUUGGCCAUGGGAACUCUGCUGCUCCGUCUCUAUUCAUUUCCCAGCACCUUUGUAUUUAAUUGUGGCCCCAAACUGGGGCAGGACACCCUCAGUGGCUGGGACCCAUCCCUGUCCAGGGGACAAUGCCUCUCCUCAAAGCACCUGGCAAAGCAGAGGUCCCUCCUCCCCCAAGCAGAGGUUGAGCACUCCAUGUGUGUCCACCACUUGUAUCAUCUUUCUAAAAAAAGAAAGAUUUAUAAAACUUACAGAAUUCUGUACAUUGGAAAUCUCCUUAAGAGCCCAGCCCUCCUUACUUAACCUGCUAUUCACAAGUGCCUGCUUUCCGUUAAACCCCAUUUGGUGUACGUGUAACAAGUGGCAGCAGUGCUUGCCAUGAAUCACAACAAACUGAGGCUCAGCAAAGGCCUUCAGAGCACUUUUGCCAAGCACAGAGAUGUGCUGAAACCAGAGGGAACUUGCUCCAGAGCAGAACACUGCUGUGCCCUCGGCUGCACGGCGGGGUGAUGGGGAUAAGUUUGCGAGUAGGUGGGAUGGAGAAAUGCAGUGCCUAACAGCCCAGAUAUGUGCAUCUCAUAAGCUUGAGGAAAAUGGGGGCUGAAAGCUUCACCCGCCCCUACCCAGACAGAAAGUUCUGAUUGUUCGCACAGAACGUUACACCCAUUUGUAUCAUUGCAUCUCACUGCCGUGGGAUGCUGGGAGAAUAACCAGGUGUUUUACGAUGAGAAAGGUUAAAAAGGAAAACCAGAACACCAGGAAAGCUUCUCAAAUUCAAGGUGCUAUUUUCCUUAUUUCCCUCUAAUAACCCUCUAAUAACACACACUGGGAGCGCUCACUGCCUCUGGCUGGGAGCUGGGCACCCACUGGCCAUGUCCAAGGGCCAACACACGCACAGUGAACAUUGCUUCCUCUCCAGCAUUAAGCACAAAAAGUUUUAACACAGGAAACAUCCCAAAAGCUGUCUGCGUAUUUACGUGAAGCCAAAAUACUGCACCUCCAAGUCACAACUCCUUCCCUUCUUCUCCCCGCCUCCAACUCCUUUCCUUUUCCCUAGGAUUAAGGACCAGCUCUUUUACCCAGCCUUAUUUUUGGGAAAAAGGGCCGAGGGGGAAGCAGCAAUCCGGAGGGACUGGUCUGUAUCCCCGCUGAAAACCAGGAGUGGACAGCCAGCUUUCCUCUGGCAUCGCCUUUCAAAGCCCAUGCCGCAGUCAGCAUAUUGAAUAUUUAAUGUCCUGAUGAGCAUUUCCACCUGCUGACACAGGCAAAGUGACAGAACAAUACACGCACUGGAACAAGAUCACCAAUUGACUCCCCAGCCAGUCUGCCAUGUCAGGCAUCUCAAAAAAAAAAGACAAAAAUCUGUCUGUCUUCCUCCCCCCCCCCCCCUUCACACGGGGUCAUACAUUGCUCCUCCGAGAAGAGUUCCCACCUGAAAUACAUACUUCUUUACAUUCCAUAGAUUGCCAGGUUCAUAUGGGCAUAUAAAGAAGUAUGUCUCUCAAGCAGGUAGGUUCAAUAUGCGCAUUUAUAUGUACACGGGAGGAAAUAGGGCUGGCGUGCCAUUUACUUCCCAGGAGUGAGUUACAGCACAGUUUGAGGCAGCCCAUGUGCAAAACACACACAUGCAUGCACACACACACACACACACACACACUCACUCCCCUUGCUGGUCAUUCCGGCUCUGCCCCUGCAGGUUGCUGGGGUUUAGGGCUGGGAAGAGGCAGUGGGCAAUGCCUGGAGUGCCUGCAGCACUUUGUCAUGGAAUGGCACAGAGGAAAAGCCCCACUCCCAGCCCCCCUACAAAGAGGAUGCUUUCACUGAAAUUGCAAACUUUCAGCAAUUAAAAAGGCUUUAGUUGAAGGAAUUUGCUUUCUGUGUAUAUAUAUAUAUAUAUGCAUAUAUAUAUGUGUGUGUAUAUAGAUUUAGACAAAGCCAUGUGGGUGGAGGUUAAGUAGAUAUCAAAUCCCGAUCGCCUCCAUCCUGCAAUUUAGAAACAAGAAGCCAAUUUGCUUUCAGAAAGCCAAAAUCCAGCAUCCGGCACUGAUUUACAAAGCAACACCAGCAAGAAGUGCUCCAUCUGGCAGAGCAAGAGAACUCACCAGCUACAGACACGCCAUCGCUUCCAGCACUAAGUAGAGAUUAAGGCAUAGGAAGAAGAAAG